rnacentral:rRNA from 1 species
GCCUAUGGCCAUACCACCCUGAACGCACCCAAUCUCAUCUGAUCUCGAAAGCUAAGCAUGGUCAAGCCUGGUUAGUACUCGGAUGGGAGAAUGUGUAGUAUUUAAGAAAGAAAGGAAGGAAGGAA